rnacentral:tRNA from 1 species
GCCCGAGUGGCGGAAUUGGCAGACGCGACGGAUUCAAAAUCCGUUGCCCUUCACAGGGCGUGAGGGUUCAAGUCCCUCCUCGGGCA